UACGGGGGGGCAAGCGUUGUUCGGAAUUACUGGGCGUAAAAGGGCUCGUAGGUGGCCAACUAAGUCAGACGUGAAAAUCCCCUCGGCUUAACCGGGGAACUGCAUCUGAUACUGGAUGGCUUGAGUUCGGGAGAGGGAUGCGGAAUUCCAGGUGUAGGCGGUGAAAUGCGUAGAUAUCGCUUGGAACGCCGAAGGUGAAAACAGGUUGCUGGGGAUGUGCCGAC
rnacentral:rRNA from 1 species